rnacentral:misc_RNA from 1 species
GAAAUGCGAUACUUGGUGUGAAUUGCAGAAUUCAGUGAAUCAUCGAAUUUUUGAACGCACAUUGCGCCCCUUGGUAUUCCAUGGGGCAUGCUUGUUCGAGCGUCAUUUGUACUCUCAAGCCUUGCUUGGUGUUGGGUGUUUGUCCUUUCCACUGCGAUUGGACUCGCCUUAAAUUCAUUGGCAGCCAAUGUAUUGGUUUUGAAGCGCAGCACAAUUUGCGAUUCAAACUAGUGACUGUUGGCGUCCAUUAAGCAUAUUUUAACACUUUUGACCUCGGAUCAAGUAGGGAUACCCGCUGAACUUAA